rnacentral:rRNA from 1 species
UACGAAGGGGGCUAGCGUUGCUCGGAAUCACUGGGCGUAAAGCGCACGUAGGCGGCUUCUUAAGUCAGGGGUGAAAUCCUGGAGCUCAACUCCAGAACUGCCUUUGAUACUGAGGAUCUUGAGUCCGGGAGAGGUGAGUGGAACUGCGAGUGUAGAGGUGAAAUUCGUAGAUAUUCGCAAGAACACCAGUGGCGAAGGCGGCUCACUGGCCCGGUAUUGACGCUGAGGCGCGAAAGCUAGGGGAGCAAACAGG